AUGGAGAAUCUUACCUGCCCAUUGAUAUAUUAAUUGAAUGGCCGCGAUACUUUGAUCGUGCUAAGGUAGCAUAAUCAUUUGUCUUAUAAUUGAAGGAUAGAAUGAAUGGUUUGACAAGAUCUUAACUGUCUUUUUUAUAUUUAGUAGAAUUUUAUGUUUAUGUGAAGAAUCAUAAAUUUAAUUAAAAGACGAGAAGACCCUUUUGAGCUUUAGUUUAUGUAUUAAAAAAGUAUUGGUACAAGGCUUUGGUUGGGGCAACGAAGGAACAAGAAAAGCUUCCUUAAUUGAUGAAGUGUUAUUUGUUUGAUCCACUAAUUAGAUGUGAUAAAUAAAAUAAGUUACCAUAGGGAUAACAGCAUUAUUUCAUUAGAGAGAUCUUAUUGAAAAUGAAGUUUGUGACCUCGAUGUUGGAUCAAAAUUUCCUAAAGGAGCAGCAUCUUAWAAGGGUAAGUCUGUUCGACUUUAAAAAUUUUA
rnacentral:rRNA from 1 species